GCAAGUAUAGUUCAACCCAAACAUUAGACUGUGACUCUAAAAAUAGAAGUUAGACCCUUCUUACCUGCC
rnacentral:tRNA from 1 species